rnacentral:rRNA from 1 species
UACGAAGGGGGCUAGCGUUGUUCGGAAUUACUGGGCGUAAGGCGCGCGCAGGCGGCUAUCCAAGUCAGUGGUGAAAGCCCGGAGCUCAACUCCGGAACUGCCAUUGAAACUGUUUAGCUUGAGGACGAGAGAGGUGAGUGGAAUUCCCAGUGUAGAGGUGAAAUUCGUAGAUAUUGGGAAGAACACCGGUGGCGAAGGCGGCUCACUGGCUCGUAUCUGACGCUCAGGCGCGACAGCGUGGGGAUCAAACAGG